rnacentral:rRNA from 1 species
GAUGAACGCUGGCGGCGUGCCUAAUACAUGCAAGUCGAGCGAACAGACGAGGAGCUUGCUCCUCUGACGUUAGCGGCGGACGGGUGAGUAACACGUGGAUAACCUACCUAUAAGACUGGGAUAACUUCGGGAAACCGGAGCUAAUACCGGAUAAUAUAUUGAACCGCAUGGUUCAAUAGUGAAAGACGGUUUUGCUGUCACUUAUAGAUGGAUCCGCGCCGCAUUAGCUAGUUGGUAAGGUAACGGCUUACCAAGGCAACGAUGCGUAGCCGACCUGAGAGGGUGAUCGGCCACCCUGGAACUGAGACCCGGUCCAGACUCCUACGGGAGGCAGCAGUAGGGAAUCUUCCGCAAUGGGCGAAAGCCUGACGGAGCAACGCCGCGGGAGUGAUGAAGGUCUUCGGAUCGUAAAACUCUGUUAUUAGGGAAGAACAAAUGUGUAAGUAACUAUGCACGUCUUGACGGUACCUAAUCAGAAAGCCACGGCUAACUACGU